rnacentral:rRNA from 1 species
AUGGGAUUCAGGUACGAGAACGUGACCUUGGAUGCACUGCCGGCAACAGUAGAUUGGAGGACGAAGGGUGCGGUCACUCCCAUCAAGGAUCAGGGUCAAUGUGGUUGUUGUUGGGCAUUUUCUGCUGUUGCUGCAACCGAGGGCAUCGUCAUGCUAAAAACUGGCAAGCUUAUCUCUUUAUCGGAACAAGAGUUGGUAGAUUGUGACGUCCACGGUGUGGACUAGGGCUGUGAGGGUGGGCUCAUGGAUGAUGCGUUCAAGUUCAUCAUUUCAAACGGUGGCCUUACUGGUGAGUCUAGCUACCCAUAUACGGCAGAAGGUGGAAAGUGCAAGAGUGGAUCCAAAGAUGCCGCCACCAUCAAGAGCUACGAGGAUGUGCCGGCCAACAAUGAAGGUGCCCUCAUGGCGGCUGUUGCGAACCAACCUAUUUCGGUAGCCGUGGAUGGUGGUGACAUGACGUUCCAAUUUUACAAAGGUGGAGUGAUGACUGGUUCUUGCGGCACUGACCUAGACCAUGGCAUUGCAGCUAUUGGCUACGGAAAGACGAGUGAUGGCACAAAAUAUUGGCUGUUGAAGAAUUCGUGGGGAACAACAUGGGGAGAGAAUGGGUAUUUAAGAAUGGAGAAGGACAUUUCUGACAAGAGAGGCAUGUGUGGUCUUGCCAUGGAGCCUUCCUACCCUACUGCGUAG